UACGUAGGGUGCGAGCGUUGUUCGGAAUUACUGGGCGUAAAGAGUGUGUAGGCGGUGCUCUAAGUCGGUGUGAAAUCUCCUGGCUCAACUGGGAGGGUGCGCCGGGAAACUGGAGUGCUUGAGCGUGGGAGAGGAAAGCGGAAUUCCUGGUGUAGCGGUGAAAUGCGUAGAUAUCAGGAGGAACACCUGUGGUGUAGACGGCUUCUGGACCAUAGCUGACGCUGAGACACGAAAGCGUGGGUAGCAAACAGG
rnacentral:rRNA from 1 species